rnacentral:rRNA from 1 species
CCUACGGGAGGCAGCAGUGAGGAAUAUUGGUCAAUGGGCGAGAGUCUGAACCAGCCAAGUCGCGUGAGGGAGUACUGCCCUAUGGGUUGUAAACCUCUUUUGUCGGGGAGCAAAAUCCAGCCGUUUCCGGCUUUUAGAUUACCCGAAUAAACAGCAUCGGCUCACUCCGUUCCAGCAGCCGCGGUAAUACGGAGGAUGCGAGCGUUAUCCGGAUUUAUUGGGUUUAAAGGGUGCGCAGGCGGAUUUUUAAGUCAGCGGUCAAAUGGUGGGGCUCAACCCCAUCCAGCCGGUGAAACUGGGGUGCUGGAGUGGGCGAGAGGCAGGCGGAAUGCGUGGUGUAGCGGUGAAAUGCAUAGAGAGGACGAAGAACCCCGAUUGCGAAGGCAGCAUACCGGGGCGGAACUGACGCUCAGGCUCGAAAGCGGGGGUAUCGAACAGGAUUAGAUACCCGGGUAGUC